rnacentral:rRNA from 1 species
AUGUCCUACGGCGCGCAGCAGUGAGGAAUAUUGGUCAAUGGGCGGAAGCCUGAGCCAGCCAAGUCGCGUGAGGGAAGAAGGCCCUGCGGGUCGCAGACCUCUUUGGACGGGGAGCAAGGCCGCCGACGUGUCGGCGGAAGGAGAGUACCCGUAGAACAAGCAUCGGCUAACUCCGUGCCAGCAGCCGCGGUAAUACGGAGGAUGCGAGCGUUAUCCGGAUUUAUUGGGUUUAAAGGGGGCGCAGGCGGCGCGGCAAGCCGGCGGUCAAAUCGCGGGGGUCAACCCCGCCCAGCCGUCGGAACUGC